CCUUAGUAACGGCGAGUGAAGCGGCAAAAGCUCAGAUUUGAAAUCUCUUUUUUUUAAUGAAGAAGCGAAUUGUAAUCUGUAGAAGGUUGAAUGGCUGAACUAUCUGAUUUAAGUUCCAUGGAAUCGGACAUCAUAGAGGGUGAGAAUCCCGUGAUCAAUCAGAAACUAAGCUACUAAAUUCACCUUUCGACGAGUCGAGUUGUUUGGGAAUGCAGCUCUAAUUGGGUGGUAAAUUUCAUCUAAAGCUAAAUACCUGCCAGAGACCGAUAGCGAACAAGUAGAGUGAUCGAAAGAUGAAAAGCACUUUGAAAAGAGAGUUAAAUAGUACGUGAAAUUGUUGAAAGGGAAGCGCUUGCGAUUAGACUUGAUGAUUAAAUUCCCAGCUUGCUCAUGAGCCGAGUUGUUACUUUUUAUUUUAUCAGGCCAGCAUCAGUUUGGAGAGGUUUAAAAAUGAUUUGGAAACGUAGUUUUUACUUCGGUAAAAAUGUUAUAGUCCUUUUUAUCAUAAACUUACCCCAGACUGAGGACCGCCAAUUUUUAAUUGAUGGAUGCUGGCAUAAUGAUCGUAAGCGACCU
rnacentral:rRNA from 1 species